rnacentral:rRNA from 1 species
AGUGAACGCUGGCGGUAGGCCUAACACAUGCAAGUCGAACGACCGGACAGUAAGCUUUUUCUCCUACCGGUGGCGAGUGGCGGACGGGUGACAAAUACAUCGGCUUCUACUUUUUCGUGGGUGACUACGUGGGGCCACUUCCGCUACUACCUCAUAUGACCUACGGCAUAAAUCAGGGGUUCUUCGCACCUUUCCUGUUUCAUUUAGCCGAUGUCGGAUUAGCUAGUUGGCGGGGUAAAGGCCCACCAAGGCGACGAUCCGUAGCUGGUCUGAGAGGAUGAUAGGCCACACUGGAACUGAGACACGGUCCAGACUCCUACGGGAGGCAGCAGUAGGGAAUAUUGGGCAAUGGGCGAAAGCCUGAUGCAGCAAUGCCGCGUGAGUGAAGAAGGCCUUCGGGUUGUAAAGCCCUGUUGUUGGGAAAGAAAAAAUGUGGGAGAAAACACGGAUGUUCUGACGGUACCCAAAGAAAAAGCAACGGCUAACUUCGUG